CCUACGGGAGGCAGCAGUGAGGAAUAUUGGUCAAUGGGCGCGAGCCUGAACCAGCCAAGUAGCGUGAAGGAUGACUGCCCUACGGGUUGUAAACUUCUUUUAUAAAGGAAUAAAGUAAGGUAUACGUGCCUUUUUGUAUGUACCUUAUGAAUAAGGAUCGGCUAACUCCGUGCCAGCAGCCGCGGUAAUACGGAGGAUCCGAGCGUUAUCCGGAUUUAUGGGGUGUAAAGGGAGCGUAGAUGGGUUGUUAAGUCAGUUGUGAAAGUUUGCGGCUCAACCGUAAAAUUGCAUUUGAUACUGGCAGCCUUGAGUACAGUUGAGGUAGGCGGAAUUCGUGGUGUAGCGGUGAAAUGCUUAGAUAUCACGAAGAACACCGAUGGCGAAGGCAGCCUACGAGACUGCCACUGACGGUGAGGCUCGAAAGCGUGGGUAUCAAACAGGAUUAGAUACCCCUGUAGUC
rnacentral:rRNA from 1 species